UACGUAGGGGGCAAGCGUUGUCCGGAAUCAUUGGGCGUAAAGCGCGUGUAGGCGGUUCUGUAAGUCUGCUGUGAAAGUCCAGGGCUCAACCCUGGGAUGCCGGUGGAUACUGCAGGGCUAGAGUACGGAAGAGGCGAGUGGAAUUCCCGGUGUAGCGGUGAAAUGCGCAGAUAUCGGGAGGAACACCUAUUGCGAAGGCAGCUCGCUGGGACGUUACUGACGCUGAGACGCGAAAGCGUGGGGAGCAAACAGG
rnacentral:rRNA from 1 species